AUAGCGUAUAUUAAAGUUGUUGCAGUUAAAAAGCUCGUAGUUGAACCUUGGGUCUGGCUGGUCGGUCCGCCUCACCGCGAGUACUGAUCCGGCUGGACCUUUCCUUCUGGGGAACCUCAUGGCCUUCACUGGCUGUGGGGGGAACCAGGACUUUUACUGUGAAAAAAUUAGAGUGUUCAAAGCAGGCCUUUGCUCGAAUACAUUAGCAUGGAAUAAUAGAAUAGGACGUGUGGUUAUAUUUUGUUGGUUUCUAGGACCGCCGUAAUGAUUAAUAGGGAUAGUCGGGGGCGUCAGUAUUCAGCUGUCAGAGGUGAAAUUCUUGGAUUUGCUGAAGACUAACUACUG
rnacentral:rRNA from 1 species